UAUAUUAUACCUGAAACUGAAUUGCAUAAUAUCUUAAGUCAAGAUCGUUUCACAAUAAGCACAAACACAGUACUGUAGAAAUCAUAAACCAAUAGCUUAAAGAGUUUCCUAGUUUCUCUAGGUGAUUACCAUAAGGACCAGCAUCAAUUGGGGUACCAUUCACGGUAGUCAUCUUCUCAGAAACUCAGCAACACAACUGCAAUCUCACAAUACACAAAACCAAGGAAAAUCUUCUAUGCUAUACUACUUGUUUCUUCACAGAAUGGGACUGUUAUUUCUCAAGGAAAAGCGUAGUUAGCAUAGGGACUUUCUACUGGUAUAUAUAGUGGCCUAGAAACAUAACUCGUGCUCAUCCCAUAAGGAGUCCGAGUUCACUUAAUGUUUAUCAGAUACAAGUCUUUAGGUUUAUCUCAA
rnacentral:lncRNA from 1 species